rnacentral:rRNA from 1 species
AUUGAACGCUGGCGGCAUGCUUUACACAUGCAAGUCGAACGGUAACAGGCCUUCGGGUGCUGACGAGUGGCGAACGGGUGAGUAAUGCAUCGGAACGUACCCAGAGGUGGGGGAUAACGCAGCGAAAGCUGUGCUAAUACCGCAUGUGAUCUGAGGAUGAAAGCGGGGGACCGAGCAGCAAUGUUUGGCCUCGCGCCUUUGGAGCGGCCGAUGUCGGAUUAGCUAGUUGGUGGGGUAAAGGCCUUCCAAGGCGACGAUCCGUAGCUGGUCUGAGAGGACGACCAGCCACACUGGGACUGAGACACGGCCCAGACUCCUACGGGAGGCAGCAGUGGGGAAUUUUGGACAAUGGGCGCAAGCCUGAUCCAGCAAUGCCGCGUGCGGGAAGAAGGCCUUCGGGUUGUAAACCGCUUUUGGCAGGAACGAAACGGUGUCCGCUAAUACCGGGCGCUAAUGACGGUACCUGCAGAAUAAGCACCGGCUAACUACGUG